CCCCCCUCCGAGGUCGGGGGGAUGUAGCUCUGACUGAAGCCGCAGGGGUCAUGGCUCAAGUCCCAUCAGUCUGUUUGUGAGCUGGAGUAAAUCGUUUCGCCUCUUUAGGUCAGACUUUUCAAUCAUAGCAGAACGGAGUCCUGGGCCAAUGUGUCUGGUGGGGAUAAGACAAUUAGUUGGUGAGGGGGAGGGGCUGAAACAGAGUAGCACCUCAGAGGUUUCCUAUCCCUCUGCCUCUUUGAUCUUGUUCUGAUUCUCUCUGUUGUAGAGCCCGUCCGAUUUAAUAGAGGACUAGUAAGAUUUUGGUGUUUAGGUGUUCCAAAUCAUUACUUCUUUCUGAUGCCUUUUAUUUCACAUUUUGAAAGAAAUUAAUCAAAUGGCACAUGCUUGUGGGUACAUACGACUUGCUCAGUGAGAAUUCAGCUUGUCCAAAGGUGUGGGGAGAUGAACCUCCAAAGUGCAAGGCUUAGGGUUAGAGACAUUAGAAAAAAAAAAGUAACUUUAAUCAAGGUCAUGGUUGCUGUAUUUAAUCUUUAUGUGUUCAAAUGUUUACAGGAUGUUCAUGUGAAUUUUAUGAAUCCUUCUGUCUUUGUGACUCAACCAUCUGCCAAA
rnacentral:lncRNA from 1 species